AGCAGUCGCCGCGUAAUACGUAGGGUGCAAGCGUUAAUCGGAAUUACUGGGCGUAAAGCGUGCGCAGGCGGUUCUAUAAGACAGAUGUGAAAUCCCCGGGCUCAACCUGGGAACUGCAUUUGUGACUGUAGAGCUGGAGUGUGGUAGAGGGGGAUGGAAUUCCGCGUGUGGCAGUGAAAUGCGUAGAUAUGCGGAGGAACACCGAUGGCGGAGGCAAUCCCCUGGGCCUGCACUGACGCUCAUGCACGAAAGCGUGGGGAGCAAACAGGAUUAGAUACCCCUGUAGUCCCUGUCUCUUAUACA
rnacentral:rRNA from 1 species